AUUGAACGCUGGCGGCAGGCCUAACACAUGCAAGUCGAACGAGUGGCGGACGGGUGAGUAAUGUCUGGGAAACUGCCUGAUGGAGGGGGAUAACUACUGGAAACGGUAGCUAAUACCGCAUACCAUCGGAUGUGCCCAGAUGGGAUUAGCUAGUAGGUGGGGUAAAGGCUCACCUAGGCGACGAUCCCUAGCUGGUCUGAGAGGGUUACCGGGCACACUGGAACGGAGAAACGGUCCAGAGUCCCACGGGAGGCAGGAGGGGGGAAUAUUGGACAAUGGGCGCAAGCCUGAUGAAGCCAUGCCGCGGGUAUGAAGAAGGCCUUCGGGUUGUAAAGUACUUUCAGCGGGGAGGCGUUACCCGAAGAAGAAGCACCGGCUAACUCCGUGCCAGCAGCCGCGGUAAUAC
rnacentral:rRNA from 1 species